UACGUAGGGUGCAAGCGUUAAUCGGAAUUACUGGGCGUAAAGCGUGCGCAGGCGGUUGUGCAAGACAGAUGUGAAAUCCCCGGGCUCAACCUGGGAACUGCAUUUGUGGCUGUACGGCUGGAGUGCGGCAGAGGGGGAUGGAAUUCCGCGUGUAGCAGUGAAAUGCGAAGAUAUGCGGAGGAACACCGAUGGCGAAGGCAAUCCCCUGGGCCUGCACUGACGCUCAUGCACGAAAGCGUGGGGAGCAAACAGG
rnacentral:rRNA from 1 species